UACGUAGGGUGCAAGCGUUGUCCGGAAUUAUUGGGCGUAAAGAGCUCGUAGGCGGUCUGUUACGUCGGCUGUGAAAACCUGGGGCUCAACUCCGGGCCUGCAGCCGAUACGGGCAGACUAGAGUUCGGCAGGGGAGACUGGAAUUCCUGGUGUAGCGGUGAAAUGCGCAGAGUAUCAGGAGGAACACCGGUGGCGAAGGCGGGUCUCUGGGCCGAAACUGACGCUGAGGAGCGAAAGCGUGGGGAGCGAACAGG
rnacentral:rRNA from 1 species